CAUCCUCCAAGGCUAAAUACUCCUGACUGACCGAUAGUGAACCAGUACCGUGAGGGAAAGGCGAAAAGAACCCCGGCGAGGGGAGUGAAAAAGAACCUGAAACCGUGUACGUACAAGCAGUGGGAGCCCCACCACCAAAGCAUUCUCUGGUGUUGAAGGCCCUGCAAAGCAGCAUCGCGGUGGCGGAGCGUCGUUUGCGACGCCCAACACACAAAACAAGCGGUGAGUGCUUUGGGGUGGGGUGACUGCGUACCUUUUGUAUAAUGGGUCAGCGACUUAUAUUCUGUAGCAAGGUUAACCG
rnacentral:rRNA from 3 species